UGCGUAGGCGGAUAGAUAAGUCAGAGGUGAAAGCCUCCGCUCAACGGGAGAAUUGCCUUUGAUACUGUUUAUCUUGAAUAAGGUUGAGGUUAGCGGAAUGUGACAUGUAGCGGUGAAAUGCAUAGAUAUGUCAUAGAACACCAAUUGCGUAGGCAGCUAGCUAGGCCUUUAUUGACGCUGAGGCACGAAAGCAUGGGGAGCGAACAGGAUUAGAUACCCUGGUAGUCC
rnacentral:rRNA from 1 species